rnacentral:rRNA from 1 species
AAACUGGAGAAGUUUUGAUCCUGGCUCAGAAUGAACGCUGGCGGCGUGCUUAACACAUGCAAGUCGAACGAGAAAG